AGCAUAUCAAUAAGCGGAGGAAAAGAAACCAACAGGGAUUGCCCUAGUAACGGCGAGUGAAGCGGCAACAGCUCAAAUUUGAAAUCUGGCUUCGGCCCGAGUUGUAAUUUGCAGAGGAAGCUUUGGGCGCGGCACCUUCUGAGUCCCCUGGAACGGGGCGCCAUAGAGGGUGAGAGCCCCGUAUAGUUGGAUGCCUAGCCUGUGUAAAGCUCCUUCGACGAGUCGAGUAGUUUGGGAAUGCUGCUCAAAAUGGGAGGUAAAUUUCUUCUAAAGCUAAAUAUUGGCCAGAGACCGAUAGCGCACAAGUAGAGUGAUCGAAAGAUGAAAAGCACUUUGAAAAGAGGGUUAAAUAGCACGUGAAAUUGUUGAAAGGGAAGCGCUUGUGACCAGACUUGCGCCGGGCGGAUCAUCCGGUGUUCUCACCGGUGCACUCCGCCCGGCUCAGGCCAGCAUCGGUUCUCGUGGGGGGAUAAAGGCCCUGGGAACGUAGCUCCUCCGGGAGUGUUAUAGCCCAGGGUGUAAUGCCCUCGCGGGGACCGAGGUUCGCGCAUCUGCAAGGAUGCUGGCGUAAUGGUCAUCAGCGACCCGUCUUGAAACACGGACCAAGGAGUCAAGGUUUUGCGCGAGUGUUUGGGUGUUAAACCCGCACGCGUAAUGAAAGUGAACGUAGGUGAGAGCUUCGGCGCAUCAUCGACCGAUCCUGAUGUAUUCGGAUGGAUUUGAGUAGGAGCGUUAAGCCUUGGACCCGAAAGAUGGUGAACUAUGCUUGGAUAGGGUGAAGCCAGAGGAAACUCUGGUGGAGGCUCGCAGCGGUUCUGACGUGCAAAUCGAUCGUCAAAUCUGAGCAUGGGGGCGAAAGACUAAU
rnacentral:rRNA from 1 species